rnacentral:rRNA from 1 species
GAUGAACGCUAGCGGCAGGCCUAACACAUGCAAGUCGAGGGAGAGGUUACCUUCGGGUAACCAAAACCGGCGCACGGGUGCGUAACGCGUAUACAAUCUGCCUUUCACAUAGGGAUAGCCCGAAGAAAUUUGGAUUAAUACCUAAUGGUAUAUAAGAGCGGCAUCGUUUUUAUAUUAAAGCUACGGUGGUGAAAGAUGAGUAUGCGUUCUAUUAGCUAGUUGGAGAGGUAACGGCUCCCCAAGGCGACGAUAGAUAGGGGUUCUGAGAGGGAUGUCCCCCACACUGGUACUGAGAUACGGACCAGACUCCUACGGGAGGCAGCAGUGAGGAAUAUUGGACAAUGGUCGGAAGACUGAUCCAGCCAUGCCGCGUGUAGGAUGAAGGUCCUAUGGAUUGUAAACUGCUUUUGUAAGGGAAGAAUAAGGAGUACGUGUACUUUGAUGACGGUACCUUACGAAUAAGCAUCGGCUAACUCCGUG